AUACGGAGGGUGCAAGCGUUAUCCGGAAUCACUGGGUUUAAAGGGUGCGUAGGCGGCUCAAUAAGUCAGAGGUGAAAUCUUUCUGCUUAACAGAAAAAUUGCCUUUGAAACUGUAGAGCUUGAAUCAAGUUGAGGUUGGCGGAAUGUGACAUGUAGCGGUGAAAUGCAUAGAUAUGUCAUAGAACACCAAAUGCGAAGGCAGCUAACUAGGCUUGUAUUGACGCUGAGGCACGAAAGCGUGGGGAGCGAACAGGAUUAGAAACCCCGGUAGUCC
rnacentral:rRNA from 1 species